AGAACGAACGCUGGCGGCAUGCUUAACACAUGCAAGUUGAACGGACUAAUUUGGGGCUUGCUCCAGAUUAGUUAGUAGCAGACGGGUGAGUAACACGUGGGAAUCUACCCAUCAGUACGGAAUAAACCUUUGGAAACAGAUGCUAAUACCGUAUAUUCUCUUCGGAGGAAAGAUUUAUCGCUGAUGGAUGAGCCCGCGUCAGAUUAGGUAGUUGGUGGGGUAAUGGCCUACCAAGCCGACGAUCUGUAGCUGGUCUGAGAGGAUGAUCAGCCACACUGGGACUGAGACACGGCCCAGACUCCUACGGGAGGCAGCAGUGGGGGAAUAUUGGACAAUGGGCGAAAGCCUGAUCCAGCAAUGCCGCGUGAAUGAUGAAGGCCUUAGGGUUGUAAAGUUCUUUUAGCAGGGAAGAUAAUGACGGUACCUGUAGAAUAAGCCCCGGCUAACUCCGCGCCAGCAGCCGC
rnacentral:rRNA from 1 species